UACGUAGGGACCAAGCGUUGUUCGGAUUUACUGGGCGUAAAGGGCGCGUAGGCGGCGCGGUAAGUCACUUGUGAAAUCUCUGAGCUUAACUCAGAACGGCCAAGUGAUACUGCUUUGCUAGAGUGCAGAAGGGGCAAUCGGAAUUCUUGGUGUAGCGGUGAAAUGCGUAGAUAUCAAGAGGAACACCUGAGGUGAAGACGGGUUGCUGGGCUGACACUGACGCUGAGGCGCGAAAGCUAGGGUAGCAAACGGG
rnacentral:rRNA from 1 species